AGAGCCAUGAAAUGAUGCCACUAAUGACUGUUAAGAUUUUGAUGUAUCAACUCUGCAAAGGAAUUUCAUUCUGUCAUGGUCAUGGAGUGUUGCACAGGGAUCUUAAGCCUCACAAUCUUUUAAUGGACCGCAAGACUAU